rnacentral:rRNA from 1 species
AGAGUUUGAUCCUGGCUCAGGAUGAACGCUGGCGGCGUGCCUAAUACAUGCAAGUCGAACGAAACUUCUUUAUCACCGAGUGCUUGCACUCACCGAUAAAGAGUUGAGUGGCGAACGGGUGAGUAACACGUGGGCAACCUGCCCAAAAGAGGGGGAUAACACUUGGAAACAGGUGCUAAUACCGCAUAACCAUAGUUACCGCAUGGUAACUAUGUAAAAGGUGGCUAUGCUACCGCUUUUGGAUGGGCCCGCGGCGCAUUAGCUAGUUGGUGAGGUAAAGGCUUACCAAGGCAAUGAUGCGUAGCCGAACUGAGAGGUUGAUCGGCCACAUUGGGACUGAGACACGGCCCAAACUCCUGCGGGAGGCAGCAGUAGGGAAUCUUCCACAAUGGGCGAAAGCCUGAUGGAGCAACGCCGCGUGGGUGAAGAAGGUCUUCGGAUCGUAAAACCCUGUUGUUAGAGAAGAAAGUGCGUGAGAGUAACUGUUCACGUUUCGACGGUAUCUAACCAGAAAGCCACGGCUAACUACGUGCCAGCAGCCGCGGUAAUACGUAGGUGGCAAGCGUUAUCCGGAUUUAUUGGGCGUAAAGGGAACGCAGGCGGUCUUUUAAGUCUGAUGUGAAAGCCUUCGGCUUAAACCGGAGUAGUGCAUUGGAAACUGGGAGGCUUGAGUGCAGAAGAGGAGAGUGGAACUCCAUGUGUAGCGGUGAAAUGCGUAGAUAUAUGGAAGAACACCAGUGGCGAAAGCGGCUCUCUGGUCUGUAACUGACGCUGAGGUUCGAAAGCGUGGGUAGCAAACAGGAUUAGAUACCCUGGUAGUCCACGCCGUAAACGAUGAAUGCUAAGUGUUGGAGGGUUUCCGCCCUUCAGUGCUGCAGCUAACGCAAUAAGCAUUCCGCCUGGGGAGUACGACCGCAAGGUUGAAACUCAAAGGAAUUGACGGGGGCCCGCACAAGCGGUGGAGCAUGUGGUUUAAUUCGAAGCAACGCGAAGAACCUUACCAGGUCUUGACAUCCCGAUGCUAUUCCUAGAGAUAGGAAGUUUCUUCGGAACAUCGGUGACAGGUGGUGCAUGGUUGUCGUCAGCUCGUGUCGUGAGAUGUUGGGUUAAGUCCCGCAACGGGCGCAACCCCUAUUGUUAGUUGCCAUCAUUAAGUUGGGCACUCUAGCGAGACUGCCGGUAAUAAACCGGAGGAAGGUGGGGAUGACGUCAAAUCAUCAUGCCCCUUAUGACCUGGGCUACACACGGGCUACAAUGGUUGGUACAACGAGUCGCGAGUCGGUGACGGCAAGCAAAUCUCUUAAAGCCAAUCUCAGUUCGGAUUGUAGGCUGCAACUCGCCUACAUGAAGUCGGAAUCGCUAGUAAUCGCGGAUCAGCACGCCGCGGUGAAUACGUUCCCGGGCCUUGUACUCACCGCCCGUCA